CACCAACCAGAUCUUCUUGCGAGUCUCUUCAAUGGGAGCAUUGCUCCGUUUUGACAUCUCAAGAGCUAUAAGCUCUGCAAUACCAGUUCCAGCUUCCCCAGCACCAAGGAACAAGAAAGUGUGAUCAGCUAGGGAACCACCAAGCAACUUCAGUGCUGCAAUAACCCCUGCCAGAACAACAGAUGCUGUCCCCUGUAUGUCGUCGUUGAAGACCAGAUGAGUUGUACCAUACUUUGCAAGCAG
rnacentral:misc_RNA from 1 species